GAGUACAUCGGAUUCUUACGAAAUUUAAGCCCAACCCGGAAUAAGAGGAUGAGUGAUACACGGACUUCUUCUGCUACUUAGGAAGUGAAGCGGACGUAGAUCGAGUCAAGAGCAAGGAUUGCACGGAUAGAUCGAUCAUAUAGUUGAAAUAUAUAACGUCUAGAAAUGUAAAUUUUAGUAUGAAUGUUGUGAAUUAUUUUAUAGAACGU
rnacentral:lncRNA from 1 species